rnacentral:scRNA from 1 species
UCACUCGGCGCCUGGGCCGCUCCCCCUCAUCC